UACGGAGGGUGCAAGCGUUGUUCGGAAUUACUGGGCGUAAAGGGCGCGUAGGCGGACAGUUUAGUCAGAGGUGAAAGCCCAGGGCUCAACCUUGGAAUUGCCUUUGAUACUGGCUGUCUUGAGUUCGGGAGAGGUGAGUGGAAUGCCGAGUGUAGAGGUGAAAUUCGUAGAUAUUCGGCGGAACACCAGUGGCGAAGGCGACUCACUGGCCCGAUACUGACGCUGAGGCGCGAAAGCGUGGGGAGCAAACAGG
rnacentral:rRNA from 1 species